AUGCUAGGGGUUAGCCCCUCGUUCUCAAUGGCAAAUCACUGCUAUAACACACACUUGUUCACCAUAAUCUACAAAAGAACUACUUCCAUG